AAUUAACAAAACCUAAUUUUUCACUUUAGCAUUUCUCUACCACUUCGUUUGUUGUUGUGACUUUGUUGUCCCUUUUUUUGUCGUCGUGACUACUUCGGCAUUGUUCACCGUCAGUGUGUUCUUGCUGCAUUGGCUUCUCUUCUCAUAUUUUGUUCUCCAUUCUCUUUUUCUUCUCCAUUUUAGUUCUAAGUUUUUUUAUGUCUGCUUUAUUUCAGCUCCACCCUUCACUGCCGUUGUUCAGCUCUACCUCCGGCUCCACCACGGUCAGCUUCCCGUUCCCGCUGCUCCAACACCAUUCAUGGGAGGUAAAGUUUUAAAACUUCAGAUUUUUUUUAUUUUUUUUUGUGUUGUUGUGUGAAUGGAUGUGAUUUGAUUGAGUUUAUGUGACUGUAAACAUAAUUCUGUUGUGAUAAUAAAAAAAUUAAAACAGAAAUGAAACUUUGAAGCUUAAAAGCUUAUGUGCGGGGAAGAAGGUUGUUACGUGUACAAAAUUCAUGGACAAAACGUUAAUUUAAUUUUAGUAAAACUGAAUUACUAAAAGUGAUUUAAUAGGAUUUACAAUUUGAUUAAAACUAAUUUAAUAGAAUUUGAAAGUUAAGGUUUCCUUAAAAAAAUGAAGAGAAUAAAAGGAAGAAAGGUAAUUAAUAAAGAAGGAAAGAUAAUUAAUAAAAGGUUAGGUAAUUAAUAAAAGAAGUAAGAAUUUGUUUUGGAAAAAAAAUUAUUACUAUUUAAAAAUAAUUUAGGAAAUUGUGUUUUUAAUUUUUUUUCAUUAAAUAUCUUGUAAUAAUGUAGAUUUAGAAGUUUUAUUUUAUUUUUUCCAUUGAUUAGGUUUAAUUAAUGGUUAUGUUGUAAUAAUUAAGUACAUUCUAAAUUUAGAAAUUUCAUUUUUUUCCAUUGGUUAUGUUUUAAUAAUAAUUAAAUACAUUUAUAAGUUUUCAUUUUUCCAUUGUGUUUUAAUAAAAUAUUAGUGUUGCGGAGAGUAAACUUUUUCAUUUUUCCAUUGGUUAUUUAAAAAAAAUUAAAAGGUGAUAGGUGUACAAAAUAAAUAGGUGCUGUAGAGAGUAAAAAACAUGGGCAGCAGAUUGGGCCAAGUGUUUUCAAGAAAAUUACAAAUAGUGAUGUGGGGAGUGUAUAAAUUAAAUAGAGGUUGCAUAGAGUAAACGUGAUAGGCAGAAGAAUGGGCCUAUAUUUUUCAUUAAUAUGUUGCAAUUAGUAAUCUGGAGGGUAUAGAAAACAAAUAAGGGUUUCAUAGAGUAAAAGUCUUGGAAAGCAUAAUGGGCCCAUGUUUUUGAAGAAAAUGUUACAAUUAGUGAUGUGGGGGGUGUAUAAAUUAAGUAGGGGCUGCAUAACUUGAACAUUAUUGUAUCCUAUUCGUCUAGGAUUUACAAAUACAAAAUUCUUACACUAACACAAUAACUAAUUACAUGAAUUAGUAUGUUUUAAAUAUUUAACAUACUAAGUUUAAACAAUAAAGUUUACAUGUGACAUAUGUAGUGCAUUGGACCCUGAUAUCCACAUGAUUCAUGUAUUAAAUCGUUUGUAAGGUAUAAGUAUACUAUUAAGUAUUGAAAAUUUCAUCAUCAACAUGCAGAAAAAUGGAUCGAGAUUUUAUGUAUGAAAUGCUUGAUUCUUGAAGAAGAUUGCUUCAUCAACAUGCAGAACAAUGACGUUCAUGCUUUUGUUUCUAAGGCAAUGAAUCAAGUUUCAUACAUACCAGAUGGAGGGGUAAGGUGGUCCGUGUGUGAAAUGUUAUUGUGAGAAAAUUGUCAAACCUUCUCAUGUCAGGAGUCAUCUGCUUCAACAUGGCUUUCAACUCAACUACAAGGUAUGGAUUUCACAAAGAAGCAGGGAAAAAUGAGGUUAACUUAAACAUUGCAUUAAGUGUGAUGAUGACUUUGGGUCAUUAGCCGAAAUGGUGAACAAUGCAUACAUGCAAGAAAGUGAUAUAAGAACUCGUUAUGUCAAUGUUAUCAAGGAUGUAGAACAAGAACCUAACGCUUAAGAACAAAAAUUUUAUGAUAUGUUAAUAUCUACUCAUCAACCCAUUUAUGAUGGAGCAACUUAGUCUAAAUUGUCAAUAGUCGUAAGGUUUUUGGGCUCUAGAACCAAUUGGCACACAACUGAAAAGUGUUUAGAUUAUUUCAUUGAAAUGUUACUUGAUGUAGCUCCAACAGAGAAUUGCAUACCUAAGGCUUAUUAUGAAACAAAAAAAGUUAUCUCUACUCUUGGGUUGAAGGCUGUCAAGAUUGAUUGUUGAGGUUGGAUGCAUGUUGUAUUACAAGGACGACAUCGAAUUAAAUGAGUGCAAAUUUUGUGGCCUUCCCAGGUACUUGCCUCCAAAGGUUCAAAACAAAACAUACAAAAGAGUGUCGAUAAAAAAAUGUUUUAUUUGUCUAUCAUACCAAAAUUUCAAAGAUUGUAUACGUCAAUGAAGUGAGCUAGCCAAAUGCGAUGGCAUUUUGAAAACAUAACUAAUGAUGAUGUUUUGCGUCAUUCAUCUGAUGGGAAAGCUUGGAAAAACUUUAAUAGUGUAUAUCCCGAAUUUGCAGCUGAACCCUGUAUUGUAAGGUUGGGACUGUGAUCUAGUGGAUUCACUCCUUAUGUCCAAGUUUUAGCAUCCCCAUAUUCUUGUUGGUCGGUAUUUGUCACCUCUUAUAACCUACCCCCUGAAAUGUGUAUGACGAAGCCGUACAUGUUUCUAAGUUGUCUCAUAUCUGUUCCUAGUAACCCAACAAAAGAACUAGAUGUAUACUUGCAACCAAUUAUUGAUGACCUCCAAAAUUGUGGUCUGCUAGUGUUUUAACUUAUGACAUAUCAACAAAAGAAAAUUUCGUCAUGCGAACUUGUUUGAUGUGGACAAUUAAUGAUUUUCCAGCAUAUGCGAUGUUGUUUGAGUGGGGGACUAAAGGGAAAUUAGUUUGUCCUUAUUGUAUGGGGGACACAAAAACAUUCACACUAAAGCAUGGAGGUAAAAGUUCCCGGUUUGACUUUCAUGGACGAUUUUUGUCAUCCAAUCAUCCUUUCAAGAGGAGUCAGGGGAGAUUUCUUAAAAAUAGAGUUGAAAUGGAUGGCCCACCUUAUGUCUUAAAUGAAAAUGAAGUAUGGGAGAUUCUUCAUAAUUUCCCAAAAGUGACAGAUGGUCCAUAUUUUGGGAUCUGCCAUUUUAGAAGGACAAAACUUUUUUGAUAAUGUUUUCAACACUGUAAUGGACAUUAAGAACAAAACGAAGGACAAUCAAAAGGCGAGAAUGGAUGUUGUUGAAUUGUGUGUUCGUGGAGACUUGGAGUUGGUUUAAUUACAAAAUGGAAAGUUUACAAAGCCAAAGGCUAACUACACAUAAUUAAAGAAAGAUGCUAAGUCAAUUUACAAAUGGAUCACCAAGUUGGAGAUGCCAGAUGGUUAUGCCUCUAACAUUGCAAGGUGUGAAAACAAAGACAAGGGAAGUAUGCAUGGUAUGAAAAGUCAUGGCUUUCACGUUUUCAUGGAGUGUUUACUACCAAUAUGUUUUCGAUAAUAGCCAGAAUUUGUGUGGAGUGACCUUGCUGACUUAAGUCGAUUCUUUAAAGACAUAUGUUUUAAUACAUUGAGGAUGAAUGAUCUUGUUAGUAUCGUUGGAUGUAUGCCUUUGAAAGGUAAGCAUCAUCUUAAUUAUUUUAAUGUUUAAGAAGGUGUGCAAGUUAUAAUAAUGACUGCUUUGCUUUAGAAUGAUGAGAGAUGCAAAGAAAUUAGUGGGUAAUUUGGCACGAGUAGAAGGAUCAAUAUAUGCAUUCUACCUACAUCGAGAGAUAACAUAUUUUUGCUCUCAUUAUUUCAAACGUGUCAGCUUGUUGUCAAAUAGAAAUUUGAAAAAUGAUCCUAAAACAUUUACGAAUGAGGAAAACCCAUACACAUUGUCAGUUUUGAAUAAAUAUGGACGACCAAGUGGUUCUAACAAAGACUAUUAGUUCAUUGAUGAAGAACAUCGUUCUACCCAUGUUCAUGUCCUCAUCAAUUACGAUAAGGUCAAACGAUUUCUUUAGUAAGUUUAAUUGUACAUAAUUUGAAUUAAAUUAUUGUAGGUUGUAUAAUUCGCUAACAAAUUCAAUCAAUAUUUAAAGAUUGUUCUUAAAAGUGUACUCAAUCAUGACGAAGAUACUUGUAUAGUCAUACAUGCUAAUUUUCCUAAAUGGUUCAAGAGCUACGUAAGUGUAACCUAAACCCAUAUGUGCUUCUUAUUAAAUCGCAAUAAAUUCAAUAAAUGUAAUGCUUUCUUAUCACUAAAACACAGGUUCAUGAUGAAAGGAAUGUAAUGAACCCAAACUUGAAGGGACUUUCUUCGGGACCUAAUUCAAAGACAACAUCAUGGAACAUGUACUUCGUUAAUGGAUAUAAGUUUCAUACAAAGGCAUGGGCUGAUGGUAAGAAAACAAUAAAUAGUGAGUUGUAUGUUAAAUGUGUCACUGGUGGAAGAGAAUACGACUUUUACGAUACAAUUCAUGAUAUAUAUAAAUUGGAGUAUGUUGCUCUCAAUAAAAAGAUCCUGUUAUUCUAUUGUGAAUGGUUUGAUCUUACAUUUAAUGUUGGGACUAGAUUUCAUUCACAAUAUAAUCUAGUUGAAAUCAAGUUAAGUGGAAGAUAUGGGCUCUAUGAUCCAUUUAUUCUUCCAAAGAAGGUCAAACAAGUUUAUUAUGUCACUUAUCCAAACAGUUGUAAAAACCUUCAUGGAUGGUGCAUUCCAAUUAAAACAAAACCCCAAGGACAUCUUCAAGUUGACAACAUCAACGAUGAAUUGCCGUAUCAAGUUGAUGAGACGUCUAAUGUGUUACCAGUUACAAGAAUUGAACAUUUACAAUGUUUAGCUGACACAUCUAAUGUCAAUGUAGUUCAUGACGAUGAUGAUAUUGAAGCACAUAAUAAUGACGAUGAUGAAGAUGUUGACCUCUUAAAUGAAGAUUAUUCGAAACAUCACAUAGACAAUGACGAUUCAGAGUUUGAUAACAAUGAUGACUGAUGUCUAUUACUUUUAAUAAACUAUAAACAAACAUAUCAUCAUUACAUAAUUAUGCUAAUAUUAUGAACAAAUAAUUUUCAGGAAAAAUGGUUAGGACUAGAGGGAGGGAUGGUUCCAUUGUUAGGCGUGGCUAGCCGAGACGUGGAGUUUCUACAUCGAUGCACGGUCAGCUAGCUAUAGACCUAGGAAGCAUCCCUUAUUCUGGUAUAUUUUAUCCCAUUCCUUGACACCGUCUUCUAGCCCGUCUUCCUCUACCCACUUCUCCUCUGACCAUGGACCAUUUUGGUAUGCUUAUCCACACACCACUAUAUCACCUCAUCACACACAUAUUUCAUCAUCUUCACACCCUCCUAGUAUUCCAAAACCACUAGGGUCAUCAUUCUCUAUUCCGACUUACCAUCAGAGUGUCCCUGCACCACUCCACCAGACUUGGAGUUUUUCACUCCAGCCUAUCCCUGGUACAUUUUUGCAGCCCA
rnacentral:lncRNA from 1 species